UGGGGAAUAUUGGACAAUGGGCGCAAGCCUGAUCCAGCCAUGCCGCGUGCGUGAAGAAGGCCUUCGGGUUGUAAAGCACUUUUGUUCGGGAAGAAAUCUUCCGACCUAAUACGUCGGGAGGAUGACGGUACCGAAAGAAUAAGCACCGGCUAACUUCGUGCCAGCAGCCGCGGUAAUACGGAGGGGGCUAGCGUUGUUCGGAAUUACUGGGCGUAAAGGGCGCGUAGGCGGCUCACCGAGUCAGAUGUGAAAGCCCCGGGCUUAACCUGGGAAUUGCAUUUGAGACUGGUGGGCUUGAGAUCGGGAGAGGUGAGUGGAAUUCCCAGUGUAGAGGUGAAAUUCGUAGAUAUUGGGAAGAACACCGGUGGCGAAGGCGGCUCACUGGCCCGGAUCUGACGCUGAGGCGCGAAAGCGUGGGGAGCAA
rnacentral:rRNA from 1 species